rnacentral:rRNA from 1 species
UACGGAGGGUGCGAGCGUUGUCCGGAAUUAUUGGGCGUAAAGAGCUCGUAGGCGGUCUGUCGCGUCUGCUGUGAAAACUCGGGGCUUAACCCCGGGCCUGCAGUGGGUACGGGCAGACUAGAGUGCGGUAGGGAGACUGGAAUUCCUGGUGUAGCGGUGAAAUGCGCAGAUAUCAGGAGGAACACCGGUGGCGAAGGCGACUUACUGGACACAUAUUGACGCUGAGGUGCGAAAGCGUGGGAGCAAACAGG